GCUUCCACACCGCAUUCUGGCUAUUUUGCUUGCUUCCAGCCUACAAACUGGGAAUUUUACAGAAUUUAACAGACAGCCUUUAGCACCCGUCAGGCGUGCAAAAUCAUCGCAGGCGAUGGUGUAUUGCUGCGUACCGCUCUGCAAAUCGAGCGGGCGCACAGCAAAAGGAAUCACAUUCCACGAGUUUCCCGUUACUGAACUACGGAACCAGUGGCUCGAGAGAAUUUCUCGACAAGCGGAAGGACCUGGAAAAAACCCAUGGAUCCCUAGCGACCGCAGUAAAGUCUGCAGCCUGCACUUCAAGGAAGAUGAUUUCAGAGAAGGCCUGAAGAUAAGGAAGCUGAAGCCAGCCGCUGUGCCCUCGGUUUUUCCCCAGUACCCGACAUAUUUGCAGCAGGUGGCGAAAAAAGAGAGGCGUCCACUAAAGCGCAAAGCUGCCAAACCAGGUUCGCCCAGAGGGAGAGAUGCCAAGACAGCAAGACUGGAUGCAGAUAUGAGUGAUGGUCCUUUAGCCGGGAAUUCAGUCACUACGGCAGAAGUUCCAGCAGCCUCCUUGAUGCCAGCAGCCGACAGCCCUGAACCUCAAGAACCGGAAGAAAUUCCUCAAGAGCCCUCUCCGGAGGCAUUGGCUGACGAGCAUUCUGUGACUCCAGCAUUAGUGGUUUCCCCUGCUGAUUUUCUUCCUCGCACCUGCGACGAUGCUCCUCCUAAGCCCACUUCAACUAAAACGAAUGCAGUUGUGCGUGGCGUUCAGACAAGACUGACAUUUCCACGUAUGCAGAAGCUUCUGAAGCAAGUCAGCACACUUAAGAGGAAAUGCCAAAGACUACUAAAAAAGAGACGAACUGCAGAAAAGGUGCACGAAGAGGAUGCUAAAGCUCUCUUCCUGCAAGAACAACUAUCAUUUUUGAGUAAACCGAAAGGUCGCUGGCGUGAAGAAACUAUCCGCUAUUGUGUGGUUUGGCAUUCUAAGUCCCCAUCUGCAUACAAUGUGCUUCGUGAAACUGGGGUGCUGUCAUUGCCAAGCCGCUCAACAUUGAAGAGGUAUAUGGCGCAUGCACUGGAGAAAUGGUAUCGUCCCUUAUUAAGCAACGCCUUUAUAUGGAGGCAAAGCUACACUCGGAGCACGCACCCUGUGGCUCCCUGGUGAUGGACGAAAUGUCCCUCAAGCAAGGCACCAGCUACCAAAAGCAAUCGGAUGCUGCUAAUGGCUCUGUUGAUCUGGGAGGUGCAGAGGCUCAAUUUGGAUUACAAGACCAACUGGCAACUCAUCUCCUCUGCUUUGUGUUUGUGGGACUGUCAACCCACUACAGGCUUCCUGUGGGGUACUAUUUUACAAAGAAUUUGGCAGGAGAGCAACUUCAGCUUCUUGCCUUGAAGGUAAUGGAGUCCGUGGAAGAAGCGUGUUUCAAAUUGGUACGCCUUGUCGGAGAUAGUCACAGAUCGAACUCGAAGUUUUUCUCCAAUCUGUCGGGUGGCCCCAUACAACCUGUUGUUGAACAUCCUCUAGAUUCAGGUCGGGAGCUUUUUCUUUCAUUCGACUAUUGUCAUAUAUUGAAAAACAUCAGGUCCCAGUUUCUUGACGUAAAGAGAUUAUUCAGGAGAAAGGGACAACUCAUCCUGCCAGACUUUCUAAGACUGCUGUACAAGAUUCAAGAGAAGCAGGGCGCCUUCAAAUUGGUGAGGAGCCUAACCAAGAAGCACCUGUAGCCGUCAAAUUUCGAGAAAAUGAAUGUCGGCAGGGCUAUUCAAGUUUUUUCACCUCAGGUCACCACAGUCUUGCGAUUUUUACAACAACAUGGACAGAGCCUUGGAGCUCCUGGCUUCCAGAAUUGCCUGCCGACGGUGGAAUUCAUGGAAUUGGUGCACAAAUGGUUUGUGCUCCACAAUAUUAAGAGCACUACUCUUCACUGGACCAGCAGAGAUGCCAUGAGGAUGCCAUUUUACAGUGCAGAUGACGAGAGACUUUCAUGGCUAGAAAAUGACUUCCUGAAGUAUUUCAGCGAAUGGAAGGAAGCCAUAAUGUAUAAGAUGGAGUUUCUGUCCGAAGAAACUUACGAGGCACUGAGAGUGACUAGCAUGUCCACAGUGCUGUGCACGAGAUUCCUCUUGAAAACAGGAUUUCAUUUUGUGCUGACGUCAAAGUUUUCAAGCGAUGAUGUCGAGUCGCUUUUUUCGACAAUCAGGCAGCUCAAUGGGCCGAAUGACCAAACCGAUGCCUAUGCAGCCCUGUCAUCACUGCAAAAGAUCUUGGUCACUGGAAUCGUCCACGCUUCGACCAGUGCCAAUGCAGGAAGCGUGGUGGGCUCGCUGGGGAAGGCUUCAAAGCUGUUUCCCAUUCCUGUGAAGACCACUUCAGACAACGAUGUCAGGAAGCUUCUGCUCCCUCAUCUCACUGCGCUGGAGCGCUAUCCAAGUGCCCCUCAGCGAAGCCUUCGAGCCAGCACGCUGGCAAUGAUUGCUGGCUUCUUGGUCAGAGCCGUGCAGGAUUGUAUUGAAUGUGAGGGCUGCCUCAUUAAUAUGCGGGCACCAGUCUCUCACUCUACCACCACUGCCAUCAUUGCUGGCAUGGACCGCAGCGGGCUGUCAUAUCCUACUUUGGCAUUCGUAGGGUUCGUCAGCCGCCUGGAAAAUGCUGCAUCAAGCGUGGCUCCUGCACUUGUUAGGGGGCCAAAGCCACUGAAGAAGUUCACGGACCUGGUGCUGCCAUCACUUCAAAAGAAUCCGUUGUUUGUGUGCCCAAAGGACACCCCUGAGCCUCACAGAUUAGCCCUGCUCAGGCUGCUCGUCCAGAAGUUUAUGAGGCCAUUUUUGGCGAAUUUUACUUCUGAUUUGGCACAGGAGCACGCCAAGCGGAAGAUAAUUAACGCCAAGCCAAAAUCGCGGAAGAUUCUGAAAGUUUAAUAUUAGAUUCCCGGUAGGCUUGUAAUAAAUCAUGUCGUGCAAACAAACUUUUUAUGUGUGGUCGUAUUUUUAUUAAUCAUUUUCCUUGAAAAAUGCUUCGUUUGAAGUGAUUUAACGAUCGGGUAAACGCUUCUAAAUAUAGCAAACUAGGAAGCGCGCAAACCGUGAUUUUUACUUGAAAAGUGGCGCUUCACCUUACGAAGCUGAUAAGUACGUUUCGCAGCUGUGCGGGAAAAGCCGGAAUAAAAAAAAAAAGCGGCACGACAGCCCCAGCUAACUACCAGUAAUGCCAAAUGCAAAAACUUCUUUCUGGGGUUUUAUGUGCCAAAGCCACUUCUGAUUAUGAGGCACGCCGUAGUGGAGGGCUCCGGAUUAAUUUUUACCACCUGGGGUUCUUUAACGUGCACUACAACGCAAGCGCACGGGCGUUUUUGCAUUUCGCCGCCAUCGACAUGCGGCCGCCGCGGCCGGGAUCCGAUCCCGUGAAAAUGUAAAAACUGCUGCUCUGAAAAAAAAUAUUACCACUAACAGCCUUACAUGUUUUAAAUAUACAUACAUAGCGUCCUUAUACUGUGUGCUAAAAAGUGCCAGGUGUUUACCCAACCUGAAAGGUCGCCGACGGUUACGCGCAGCUGAGGUGGGCCACGACGAUAGACGCCGAGAUGAGGGUAACUUGUGGCGCCACCUGUUGCAGCGCGCCGUCCCUCCCGAGGAGUCACGUGGUAUUUCCGCGGACACGCACUGCCAUAGCAGGCG